AGCUGCAGAAGAAGCACCGGCUAACUCCCGUGCCAGCAGCCGCGGUAAUACGGAGGGUGCGAGCGUUAAUCGGAAUUACUGGGCGUAAAGCGCAUGCAGGUGGUUUGUUAAGUCAGAUGUGAAAAGCCCGGGGCUCAACCUCGGAAUUGCAUUUGAAACUGGCAAACUAGAGUACUGUAGAGGGGGUAGAAUUUCAGGUGUAGCGGUGAAAAUGCGUAGAGAUCUGAAGGAAUACCGGUGGCGAAGGCGGCCCCCUGGACAGAUACUGACACUCAGAUGCGAAAGCGUGGGGAGCAAACAGGAUUAGAUACCCUGGUCG
rnacentral:rRNA from 1 species